UGAAGAGAGCAGCAAGAGAAGAUUUUUAUGGGGUUACAGCCUUAUAGGGCGAGACGAGAAAGAGGGACUGAAAGUUGCGGGGAUACGGCCGUUAACUAUUGGGCUAUAAAGCCUAAAAAACGGCGUCAUAUAAGCACGGCACUUUCUCUUUCCAGUUCAAUAAACCCUGAAUCCUGGUUCUCUGUUAAACCACAGAAGCUCAAUCCCCAUUGAAAAAUCACGCUUCUUUGAUUAGAAAGGAAUACGGAACAAUGUCAUCUUUGAUACUCAAAAGAUCAUUCAACAGAUCCUUGCUCCUUUCCCAAAACCCUUGCACCGAAACGCUACUUGUUCCCUCCUUGUUCUCAUCUCUGUCUGAACUCCAAGUUAAAUCUCUACACUCGUCAGGGCUUCGCAAUUUUCCAUCUUUAGAUCAAAAUUACAAGUUUCUGCUUUCUGGGUUCUCUUCAUUUUUGCUUAAAACUGUAGAAAGACCAUCUCGGUCCCAUUUUAGGGUAUCUAAGCGUUACCUUUCUUCACGUUGGAGAGAAAGAUAUAGGGUUUUGACUUCUCGAAUUUGUGCUUUGCAAAGAAAUAAUUCGGCUUUUUCUUCAGUUCUGCCUUCAAGUGUUGCACUUCCGUGUGAGUCUAAUAAGGAUCAGCUCCAUUCAAGGCGCUUUCGCAUGUUUAGUACAAAGGCAGCAGUUGAAUUGUCAACUUCUCAUGGGUUAACUGUUGAUAGAAUUGUUGCCAAUAAUUGGACAAUUCUUGACGAGAGCGAGAGCGAUUGGAAGAGUCAUGCUGCUGCUAUUUCUCAAUCCAUUCAAGUGAUCAAGAAGCGUUUGCAGUGGAAGAAAUUAAAGCUUAGAUUGGAUCUGUUAUCAGCUGAGCUGAAUAAGCCGGACCUUUGGGGAGAUCCGGUACAUGCUGGGAAGAUAAGCCGUGAGCAUGGUUCACUGAUGGCUAAAAUGAAACAAGUGACUGCAUUUGAGCAGGAAUUGCUUGAGCAUAUUGACAUGAUAAAGCUGGCUCGUGAAGAGGAUGACACUGAGUUGGAAUCGGUGGGCUCUCACUUCUUAUUCUAGGCAUGUAUUCAUUCUGUUUCAUUGUUGAUGUCUGGUAUCUUGGACUUGUACAAAGCAGCAACACUUAUGACUGAUGUUUGUUUUUUAACUCUCUUAAACAUAAUAUGGCCUGUACUAAUCGUUGCAACUGCGCUGAAAAUUCAGUCCAGUAUUUGGAUCAAAUAACCAAUUGUUGUGAUUUAUAAAAUGGAAUAGUAAGAAGUCCUACCGAGCUGAAGUAACUACUAAUUCUGCAUUAGAAAUAAGUCAUUGUGUUAAACAAAGUAAAAAUGAUAAAAUGAGAUUGAAGUACUAAAAAACAUGUAAUUAACAUUUUUCCUGCACUGAGCAUACAACUUUUUAUUGUGUACUUCUACUCAGUUCUUCUAUGUGGCUAUGCCACUAUUUAUUAUGUCAAAUGCCCUGUUUCUUAUUGCAGGAGUCGUUGAAUGCUUUACUUCGGAUGAGAAGAAAUUCAAAAGAGAAAGAGCUUCAAGCAUUGUUGGCUGGCGAGCAGGAUUCUUGCUCUUGUUAUAUGGAGGUUAAUUUCACACUGUUGUUAUUGCCUUUACAUUAAUCUUUCCUGCUUUACAGUGUCUUUGGAUGUUUUCCAUUCUCCAGCCAAAAAUAUAGAGAAUGUGUGUUAAUUGGUUUGGUCAAUAGUGAUCUUGUGAACUCGUCCUUCUUUGCUUACAUUUAUGAUGGAUAAUGAACAAAUUUUGAUGUAACAUUUGUCCGAUUUAAACCUUAGUAUCUUGAUGCAUAAAAUAGGUCCAAGCUGGAGCUGGGGGUACUGAGAGCAUGGACUGGGCAAAAAUGGUCAUGCAAAUGUAUAAGUUGUGGGCUCAACGGCAGGGUUAUAAAGUAACUGUGGUGGAUGAAAUGCCUGGUGAGAUUGCAGGAAUCAAGGUUCAGCUUUUUCCAUCCUUACCCAUUUUAGAAAUACAUGAUCAUACAUAGAUGUUUUGUAUUAUUUGAAUAUUUUUCUAUCGAAGAAAACCACCCGCUAUUUGUUUUUCAGCAAUGUUGCAUGGCAAGCUGUAAAAAUGUUUCUCUACUUAUACGUAAGAACAACCAUUAGGUUUCUAGCCUGAAAUAGCUUUUUCUUUCCAGCGAGCAACAAUCAAGGUAGAUGGUGAAUAUGCAUUUGGUUAUGCCAAAGCAGAAGUUGGUGUGCACCGGUUGGUACGUAUCUCCCCUUUUGACAGUGGAAAGCGCCGGCAUACUUCAUUUGCUGCUGUUGCAGUAAUUCCAAUUCUGGGUGAUGGAUCCACUCAUGUACAAAUUAAUGAAUCUGAUCUCCGAAUUGAGCGAUUUCGUGCUGGGGGAGCUGGUGGCCAGCAUGUUAACACAACUGAGAGUGCUGUUAGAAUAGUUCAUAUCCCAACUGGAAUCACUGCCACAUGUCAAAACGAAAGAUCACAGCAUAUGAAUAAGGCUUCAGCAAUGGCAGUGCUCCAAUCCCGGUUGGACCAGCUUGAAAUGGCUCGCCAGGCUCAGAUGAAUGCACAGCAUACGCACUCACUCACUGAAAUAAGUUGGGGAAACCAGAUUCGCACUUACGUGCUUCAUGUAUGGCAGCAUUGCAACUGCCAUCUAUUUCCUCAAAUACUAUUAACAAUAUAAACUAACCAAAUUUUAAUUAUAUUUAUUUUUUUGGUGCAGCCUUAUCGAAUGGUUAAAGAUCUUCGGACCAAUUAUGAGGUCUCUGAUCCCGACACCGUGCUUGGGGGAGCUAUAGAUGGCUUCAUCUUGAACUACUUAUCAGCUUCUGUGGAUAAAGAUGAAGACUACCAAUAAGCUUUAGUUUUCAUGAAGUUAUUAUAUCUUCUGCAGAUUGACAGAAAAUAUGGCCUUCGCGCAUUUCAGCAGCUGGAUGGUGAUCAAAGCUGCAAUACCCACUACACCUAAAUUUAGGGAGUGCAUUGAAAUUUUGUCUAUUUAGUGGAAGCAAGGGUGAAAAAAUUUUGCUACUGAAGAGUCUUAUUGGCUUUUGGUACAUAUUCUUUUAUUUCAUGGCAAGCUGUGCCACUAAUUGAUUAACGUUAUCUAUAAUGUUGGGUCAGUAUUUAUACCUUAAUAAAAAGUCAAUUGGAGCCUUGAUUAAG
rnacentral:misc_RNA from 1 species